rnacentral:rRNA from 1 species
UACGUAGGGAGCAAGCGUUGUCCGGAAUCAUUGGGCGUAAAGAGCGUGUAGGCGGUUUGGUAGGUCCGCUGUGAAAACUCGAGGCUCAACCUCGAGACGCCGGUGGAAACCCUCUGGCUAGAGUCCGGAAGAGGAGAGUGGAAUUCCUGGUGUAGCGGUGAAAUGCGCAGAUAUCAGGAAGAACACCCGUGGCGAAGGCGGCUCUCUGGGACGGUACUGACGCUGAGACGCGAAAGCGUGGGGAGCAAACAGGG